CCCUUAGAUGUUCUGGGCCGCACGCGUGCUACACUGAGUGGAUCAGCGGGUCAGGUUGCGCGAACGUGUUUCCUAAUCUUGAAAUCCGCUCGUGAUGGGGAUUGACGGUUGCAAUUUUCUGUCAUGAACGAGGAAUACCUUGUAAGCGCGGGUCAUCAUCCCGCGCUGAAUACGUCCCUGCCCUUUGUACACACCGCCCGUCGCUCCUACCGAUUGAGUGGUCCGGUGAGGCUUUGGGAUCUGGAUGGAAAGAGCGUUUCGCUGUUUCUGCCCGGAAAACUCAGUCGAACCUUAUCAUUUAGAGGAAGGAGAAGUCGUAACA
rnacentral:rRNA from 1 species